rnacentral:rRNA from 1 species
AUUGAACGCUGGCGGCAGGCCUAACACAUGCAAGUCGAGCGAGCGGCGGACGGGUGAGUAAUGUAUGGGGAUCUGCCUGAUAGAUGGGGCUUACUACUGGAAACCGUGGCUACUACCGCAUACCAGCAGAUGAACCCCUAUGGGAUUAGCUUGUUGGUGAGGUAACGGCGCACCUAGGCGAAGAUCCCUAGCUGGUGUGAGAGGAUGAUCAGCUACACGUGGACUGAGACAUGGCCCAGACUCCUACGGGAGGCAGCAGGGGGGAAUAUUGCACAAGGGGCGCAAGCCUGAUGCAGCCAUGCCGCACGUAUGAAGAAGUCCUUCGGGUUGUAGAGUACUUUCAGUCGGGAGGCGUUACCGACAGAAGAAGCACCGGCUAACUUCGUGACAGCAGCCGCGGUAAUAC